rnacentral:rRNA from 1 species
GACGAACGCUGGCGGCGUGCUUAACACAUGCAAGUCGAACGGUGAACCUCUGCGGAUGGUCUCAUUGGCGUACGGGUGAGUAACACGUUGGCAAGCUGCUCCCGUCUCUGUGAUAACUGCAAGACAUUGGGGCUAAUACCCUAUUUUCACCGCUUCCCUCAUGGGUGGUGGUGGAAAGGUUUUCGGGGUGGGGGUGGUCCCGAGGCCUAUGAUCUGCGUGGUGUGGUAGUGGCCUAACAAGGCGACGACGGGUAGCCAACCUGGGAUGGUGACCGGCCACAAUGGGACUGAGACACGGCCCAGAAGCCUACGGGAGGCAGCAGUGGGGAAUAUUGCGCAAUGGGCGGAAGCCUGAGGCAGCGACGCCGCGUGGGGGAUGACGGCCUUUGGGUUGUAAACAUCUUUCAGCAGAGACGAAGCGGUAGUGACGGUACCUGAAGAAGAAGCACCGGCCAACUACGUG